rnacentral:lncRNA from 1 species
UGAAAUGGUGCGUCCUUCUACCAAUUUGAUUGGUCUAUGUUCAGAUGCAAAGCCCAUCAGUUGCUUUUUGCAUGUUUAUAGCACUGUCUAUUUAGUGAUGUCAUAUGAUCCUCCCUCUGUGGAAUAUUAGAUUAGAUGCUACUCAUAAUUUUCUCAUCAAGAUGUACAUUUGCUAGUUUGAGGGGAUGCUGUUUGUUUUUCCAUUUGCCAUGAACAUGUACUUGACUAUCUUGCUGUCACCUCAGAUGACAAUAUUGUAUCACAUGGGUAUGUACUUAUGUCAUCUUAAUAAGUAUUUAUUUGUAUGUUAAUCAUCACAGUUUCAUUAUUAUGGAACUGAUUUCACAUCUUUGGUAACUAAAGUUCUACAAAUGAAAAGCUUGAGGGGAUUUAAUUUAGGUGUUUCCGCAUUUUUGUUGCUGUACUUGCUUUGUUGCUUAUAUAGUGCUUUAGGUAAACGGUAUGAUUUGGCUACUAA